GACGAACGCUGGCGGCGUGCUUAACACAUGCAAGUCGAACGGAAAGGCCCCUUUGGGGGUACUCGAGUGGCGAACGGGUGAGUAACACGUGAGUAACCUGCCCUUGACUUCGGGAUAACUUCAGGAAACUGGGGCUAAUACCGGAUAGGAAUCCUUGCUGCAUGGUGGGGGUUGGAAAGCUUCGGCGGUUUUGGAUGGACUCGCGGCUUAUCAGCUUGUUGGUGGGGUAGUGGCUUACCAAGGCUUUGACGGGUAGCCGGCCUGAGAGGGCGACCGGCCACAUUGGGACUGAGAGACGGCCCAGACUCCUACGGGAGGCAGCAGUGGGGAAUAUUGCACAAUGGGCGGAAGCCUGAUGCAGCAACGCCGCGUGCGGGAAGACGGCCUUCGGGUUGUAAACCGCUUUCAGCAGGGGCGAAGCUUGUGGUGACGGUACCUGCAGAAGAAGCACCGGCUAACUACGUG
rnacentral:rRNA from 1 species